GCCUGGUUGGCUCAGUUAGUAGAGCAUGUGACUCCCUAUCUCAGGGUUGUAAGUUCAAGUCUCAUGUUGGGUA
rnacentral:tRNA from 1 species